rfam:Aedes aegypti strain Liverpool supercont1.51 genomic scaffold, whole genome shotgun sequence.
UCUUUGUGAUGACUGCUAUGCUAAUAUUGAGGAAACUCUAGGUUUUCGCUGAGUAAAACAAAGUUAACUUCUCAACUUAUAACUGAAAGAU